rnacentral:lncRNA from 1 species
AACUGAAAUGCACUACUGGUACCUGCACGUGUCCCAAAAAAUCCCAAAUUAGACCCAGGCCCCCUUCGGCCAAUAUCGCAAUUCCGACACGGCGGCUCCGCCAUGCUCCGGCGACGGCGAUUCACCUCGGGUUGGCCGUUUUUGGCCGUUUCCAGCCGAAUUCGGCCACACUUGCAUCGGUCCUUGUGAUAAAACAACCCUAGGGCCCUUGGGGGGCCAAAAAAUUACAGAAAACUGAAGCUUACGGCGGCGGUGCUCUCG